CUCAAGUUCAUUGUGAAUCUUGUAGAAACUUUUUUCUAGUAUUCACACUUACUCUGGCUAGAGACUUCCUGAAUUUAGUCUCGCAAAUCGCAUCGGACUACUCUUUUUCUAUCAAGAUCAAUAGAUUCCAUCUAGGUGCAUCCUACUCCAAAUAGUGAAUCUGAACCUAUAAUAGCCGACAUACACAGCAAGGAUUCAAAUGGCUAG
rnacentral:lncRNA from 1 species